UACGUAGGGGGCAAGCGUUGUCCGGAUUUAUUGGGCGUAAAGAGCGUGUAGGCGGUUAGGUAGGUCCGUUGUGAAAACUCGAGGCUCAACCUCGAGACGCCGAUGGAAACCAUCUGACUAGAGUCCGGAAGAGGAGAGUGGAAUUCCUGGUGUAGCGGUGAAAUGCGCAGAUAUCUGGAGGAACACCGGUGGCGAAGGCGGCAUCCUGGACCGACACUGACGCUGAGGAGCGAAAGCCAGGGGAGCAAACGGG
rnacentral:rRNA from 1 species